rnacentral:rRNA from 1 species
UAGCACAAUCUUAACGAUGGAUGUCUUGGCUCUUGUAGCGAUGAAGGCCGCAGCAAAACGCGAUAAGCAAUGAAAAUUGCAAUUACUGUAAAUCAUCAGAAUGCUGAAUGUAAAUUACACC